AACGAACGCUGGCGGCAUGCCUAACACAUGCAAGUCGAACGAGACCUUCGGGUCUAGUGGCGCACGGGUGCGUAACGCGUGGGAACCUGCCUUUAGGUUCGGAAUAACUCAGAGAAAUUUGAGCUAAUACCGGAUAAUGUCUUCGGACCAAAGAUUUAUCGCCUUUAGAUGGGCCCGCGUUGGAUUAGCUAGUUGGUGGGGUAAAGGCCUACCAAGGCGACGAUCCAUAGCUGGUCUGAGAGGAUGAUCAGGCACACUGGGACUGAGACACGGCCCAGACUCCUACGGGAGGCAGCAGUGGGGAAUAUUGGACAAUGGGCGAAAGCCUGAUCCAGCAAUGCCGCGUGAGUGAUGAAGGCCUUAGGGUUGUAAAAGCUCUUUUACCCGAGAUGAUAAUGACAGUAUCGGGAGAAUAAGCUCCGGCUAAACUCCGUGCCAGCAGCCGCGGU
rnacentral:rRNA from 1 species